GUUGGGAAUCUUGCGCAAUGGGCGAAAGCCUGACGCAGCAACGCCGCGUGCGGGAUGAAGGCCUUCGGGUUGUAAACCGCUUUCAGCAGGGACGAAAAUGACGGUACCUGCAGAAGAAGCUCCGGCUAACUACGUGCCAGCAGCCGCGGUAAUACGUAGGGAGCAAGCGUUGUCCGGAUUUAUUGGGCGUAAAGAGCUCGUAGGCGGUUUCGUAAGUCGAGUGUGAAAAAUCUGGGCUUAACCCAGUGGAGCACUCGAUACUGCGAUGACUUGAGUCUGGUAGAGGAGUGUGGAAUUCCUGGUGUAGCGGUGAAAUGCGCAGAUAUCAGGAGGAACACCAACGGCGAAGGCAGCACUCUGGGCCAGUACUGACGCUGAGGAGCGAAAGCGUGGGGAGCAAACAGGAUUAGAUACCCGGGUAGUCC
rnacentral:rRNA from 1 species